rnacentral:antisense_RNA from 1 species
AGUUAAGAUGGCGCGGGGAAGUACCGGGAGCCGUCUCCGUCGCCGCCUCGGGGGAACCGGCCCGGGCCUCGGCCGCCUCUAGUCCUCACACAGCCGAGGCCCUCUCGGUCCCCCGCCGCGGCCCCUCGGCGGGCGGGCCCACGAGCAGCCCUCCGCCACCAACACCACCCCUGUGGCAAGAGGAAAAAGAAGCAAGUCCAGCUCCACAGGUUUGUAAGGAGCAGCCAGCUUUGAUUUGACCUGCACGUCAUAGCUCAGGAAGUUUUGCUGCAAUCUUCAGCAAAGACCAUCCACUCAUUCCGGGAUUCCCCCAGCUCAUGGACACAGGUCUGUCUCUAACUACAGACAGCCUUCUUCUGGGAAUUCUCACCAGCCUAAUUCCCAAACUCCCAGUCCACCUUCACAUUGUUUGCCUCUUUUCAGUGCCUUUCCUCUGCAGAUCUCUCAGUAGGCAGCCGUAAGGAGUCAGCAAAGGCUAACACGGCUGCCCUCAGCUGGAAACCUAGUGUAGUGCCUAUUACAUUUCUCCUGGAACCACGCCUUCUGAGAAAGGCAAUUCCAACUCUAUCUUAGUGAGCAUCCACUUCCUUUUCAUCUGAAUUAUAAAAGAAUAGUGCCCCCUUUGGCUCAAAUCUAUGCAAUGUGGAGGAAGAAAAGGCAAGAGCUAAUCCUUGCCAUGAAUUCAUCAUUGUCAUCGUCACCAUUUCACCACUGUCAGCAACAGACUCUAGAAACAACUUGGUGAAGGCUUGAAAA